rnacentral:rRNA from 1 species
UACGGGGGGGGCAAGCGUUGUUCGGAAUUAUUGGGCGUAAAGCGCGCGCAGGUGGUUUCUUAAGUCUGAUGUGAAAGCCCACGGCUCAACCGUGGAGGGUCAUUGGAAACUGGGAGACUUGAGUGCAGAAGAGGAAAGUGGAAUUCCAUGUGUAGCGGUGAAAUGCGUAGAGAUAUGGAGGAACACCAAUGGCGAAGGCGGCUCUCUGGUCUGUAACUGACGCUGAGGAGCGAAAGCGUGGGGAGCAAACAGG